CUACGGCUUAUGGUGGAUGCCUUGGCGAUUUGAGCCGAAGAAGGACGUGUGCAUGAGCACGAUAUCGUCGGUGAGCCCUCUAGCAGGCGAUCAACCGGCGGUUUCCGAAUGGGGCAACCCACCCCGCUGAAAGGCGGGGGACCCCGAUUUUAUAUCGGGGAGGGAACCUAGUGAACUGAAACAUCUAAGUAACUAGUGGAAUAUAAAUCAUAUGAGAUUCCGUCAGUAGCGGCGAGCGAACGCGGAUGAGUCUAAACCCCGCCUUUGGCGGGGGGUUGCGGGACCUCAAUAUAGCAUCAGUGUUGUAUAGCAAAACGUUUUUGGAAUGAACGACCAUAGGGGGUGAAAGUCCUGUAUGCGAAAUGCACCACUGGCUUAGAGGUAUCCCAAGUACCACGGGACACGGCAACCUUGUGGGAAUCUGGGGCGGUCAUGCUCCAAGACUAAAUACUCAAAUCGACCGAUAGUGAACGAGUACUGUGAAGGAAAGGUGAAAAGUCCCCCUGUGAGGGGAGUGAAAUAGUACCUGAAACCAUAAGCUUUCAAACAGAUAGAGUCAGGUACCGUCUGGUACCUGAUGAUAUCGUGCCUAUUGAAGAAUGAGCCUGCGAGUUAUCUGUACGCUGCAAGUUUAAGCACUUUAAAGUGCGAAGGCGAAGCGAAAGCGAGUCCUCCGAGAGGAGGCGGGUCUGAAUAGGGCCUUUAGCAGCUACAGGUAGACCCGAAACUAGGUGAGCUAACCAUGGCCAGGGUGAACUCCGCCGAAAGGCGGAGGGAGGCCCGAACCCGUUGUCGGUGAAAUGACUUGGGAUGAGCUGUGGUUAGAGGUAAUAUGCCAAUCGAACCUAGAGAUAGCUGGUUCUCCUCGAAAUAUAUUUAGGUAUAGCCUUCUGUUAAGACUUCAUGGGGUAGAGCUACUGGAUGGUUUGUCAAGCUUCGGUGAGUCAAACCAACCAAACUCCGAAUACGUGAAGUUGUUCCAGAGGAGUCAGUCUGGCUCGGAUAAGCGAGUCUAGGCAAAAGGGAAACAUCCCAGACUUCCAGCUAAGGCCUCUAAAUGAUUGUUAAGUGGGAAAGGAAGUGUUGUUGCAAAGACAGACGGGAGGUUGGCUUAGAAGCAGCCACCCUUUAAAGAAAGCGUAACAGCUCACCGUAAUACUCCCCGCCUUUGGCGGGGUUGCAAUAAUGCGCCGAAAAUGAUCGAGGCUUAAACAAUCUGCCGACGCUGGAGAUGCUUGUCCUUCGGACAAGAAAUUCGAAGCACUAAGCUCGAAACUCAAGAGAAAUCCAAAUUUUCUAAAUUCAAAUUACUAAAGUUUGGAAUUUUGAUCAUUAGGAUUUUGAUAUUGUUUCGGAUUUAGAAUUUAGAUAUUCGAGUUUCUCGCCCGGAGGACGAGUGUGGUAGAGGAGCGUUCUGCAGGCAGUGAAGCUGUGCUGUAAGGCAUGGUGGAGCGUGCAGAAGUGAGAAUGCAGGCAUGAGUAGCGAUUCUGCUGGUGAAAAUCCAGCACACCGAAUGUCCAAGGUUUCCUCAGCAACGUACAUCGACUGAGGGUUAGUCGGAUCUAAGGGCUCUCCCGAACGGGAAGUCUCGAUGUACAAGGCGUUAAUAUUCGCCUACUGUUGUGUAUGCGUUAUUACUGGCAUAGUGACGAACUAUGAUAGACGGUGCUUUCUAUAUGAGAGUUUAAGUAAUGACUUUGUUGCUUUUAUUGGUGACAAGGGAGUUGCGAAUAUGACUCUGCCCUCGGGUAGGGGAAAUCCGUUGCGUUAUGGGUCCAAGAAAAGCUAUGUUCAGGAGUGUACACUGCAUCCGUACUGCAAACCAACACAGGUGGACUGGUCGAGAAGACUAAGGUGAUCAAGUUAUGGUAGUUCAAGGAACUCGGCAAACAAGCUGGGCGUAACUUCGGGAUAUGCCCUCCCCGCAGCAAUGCGGGGCUCAGCAAAAGAAUUCCAUCCGACUGUUUAGCAAAAACUCAGGUCUCUGCAAACCGGUAACGGGAAGUAUAGAGGCUGAAGCCUGUCCAGUGCCGGUAAGUCAAGAACUGGGGUUGAUCCCCGCCUAUGGCGUGGUGAGGUCCUGGUUCAAGCUCCGGUGAACGACAGCUCUAACCCUGAGAGUUCUAAGGUAGCGUAGUCCCUUGCCGGGUAAGUUCCGGCCCGCACGAAAGGUAUAACGAGAUGAAAACUGUCUUGAACUACUGCUCGGCGAAAUUGAAAUGGCUGUGAAGAUGCGGCCUACUGGUAACAGGACAAAAAGACCCCGUGGAGCUUUACUGUACCUUGGCACUGAAAUUUAUGUUUUGACUGUGUAGCGUAGGUGGGAGCCGCAAGGCGAUCAUGUAACACCACUCUUUGAAACGUGAGUUUCUCACUUAUCCCUCUGGAUCGAGGGAGAGGACACUGUCUGGGAGGCAGUUUAACUGGGGAGGUUGCUUGCUAAAGAGUACCGCAAGCGCUCAAAGGUAUCCUAAUUCCGGAUGGAAAUCGGAAUGAUAGUGCAAGGGCAUAAGGAUGCCUGACUGUGAGACACACAAGUCAAGCAGAGACGAAAGUCGGACCUAGUGAUCCUCGUGUACUUCGUGGGAGGUACCGGGCUUAUCGGAUAAAAGCUACCCCGGGGAUAACAGAGUAGUUGCACCUGAGCGUCCACAGCGACGGUGCAGUUCGCUACCUCAA
rnacentral:rRNA from 1 species